rnacentral:rRNA from 1 species
UAUAGAUGGAUCCGCGCUGCAUUAGCUAGUUGGUAAGGUAACGGCUUACCAAGGCAACGAUGCAUAGCCGACCUGAGAGGGUGAUCGGCCACACUGGAACUGAGACACGGUCCAGACUCCUACGGGAGGCAGCAGUAGGGAAUCUUCCGCAAUGGGCGAAAGCCUGACGGAGCAACGCCGCGUGAGUGAUGAAGGUCUUCGGAUCGUAAAACUCUGUUAUUAGGGAAGAACAUAUGUGUAAGUAACUGUGCACAUCUUGACGGUACCUAAUCAGAAAGCCACGGCUAACUACGUGCCAGCAGCCGCGGUAAUACGUAGGUGGCAAGCGUUAUCCGGAAUUAUUGGGCGUAAAGCGCGCGUAGGCGGUUUUUUAAGUCUGAUGUGAAAGCCCACGGCUCAACCGUGGAGGGUCAUUGGAAACUGGAAAACUUGAGUGCAGAAGAGGAAAGUGGAAU